GCGGUGCGUGCUGCUCACCCAUAGCCACAGGCGGGGAUUAAUGGGCUCCCAAAUCGUUCCAAAGAGCCACUUCACCUCAUCAGCUUUGAUAGGAGAUAUUAGUAAAGCAAAAUGCUUCAUCGCUUCAGUUCACAGCGACAAAACAAAGAGCCCCGUUUGAUUCUGCUUUUAAAUGCCCGGCUGCUAAUUUUCUGUGUUCUGUGUGAUGCAGGCCCGAAGGACAUCUCCUCGGACAGUCUCCUUUCUUUCCCAUUCAGACCGGGCCUCUUUCUUCUUGCUGUUGCCACACGCUUUCAGUGCAGGAUGCAGACUGCCCUCCCACUCCAGCUCAGGACACUGCAGUUCCCCAUCUACGCUGAUAUCGCAACUCACUGCUCCAGCUUUCAAGGUGCUCUGUGGCCGGGGAUGGGAUUCAAGCAUGAACUUGGCUACUUCUGAGUUAGAUGCAACAUGGGCAGCACAAGCGUCCUCAAACCGCCCCGCCAACGUGCUUCAAUUCUGAAUGAGGAGAACCAGCUUUCUGGUGAACUGAGACACCUGGUCUCUCGUGGAAGGCCUGUUUACAUCAGUGAAGCUCAUGAAUUGGGACCCAAUGACUGAAUGCUCAUGGAGAGUGAAUGAGAAAACACGGAGGACAGUCCUAACUGAGACCACGAGCUUCAGUGUGAAGGCAGGGAGAAGCAAAUCCUUUCAUCUCAGGUCCAUGAAUAUGCACUGUCCUUUACGGAUAAAUCCCUCUGCCCUGACAAGUUUCCAGCUUGCUGGCCACAUCCUGCAGUGUAAAUCUGUAACAGCAGGAGGCAAUUUGGUGCAGCAAAACAGGUAAAAGUUAAUCUUUUAUCCUGCAGGACUGGUGCCUCAUCAACAUUAUUAGUUCAUUUGUGUUGCAAUUGCACCAAAUAGACUCGGCUGAUGCUGUUGUUUCACAAUCUCUUUUUAAUCUGGCAUCAGUUGAAAGCAGCAGUCUCUCUGUUCUCUUCCUCAUUCCUCUCUUGCUUCUUUUCUUGUGGUUUAGGCAGCCACAUGGCAAACCAAAUCAGGAAAAUGAUCCGGGUUAAGGCUCAUCUGGCAAAAAUAAGGGAAGGAAGGGUUUAAUUUUGACCAUUCCUAACUCAGAUCCUGAGUGUGUGGGCUUGUAGCUCUUCCUGCCCUGCGAAAUUCCAGCAUGACUCUGCUGAUUGCCUCAGCUGCAUGCAGCCAGCAUGGCACACACAUGCCAAAGGUCCCUUUGCAGGGGAACUGCAGAGCUUCCCAGGGCUCUGGGGGCAGAGAAAGGACCGCUGUUACCUUUGUACCCCUGCAUUGUGCUGGUGGUUCCUCCUGGUCCCUGUUCUGCUCGCAGCAGAAAUGCCACAACUCGUUUUGACGAGAUGGCUGCACCCCACAUGCGGGACACGUGGCUCCCUGGUGGGAGGGAUGGGAUGUCCCCAGCAGCUCGGGGACCUUUUGGAGGUGCUUUGGGGAACCCCGCACAGCUUUGGGGUGCAGCACCGCAGUCACGUCCCGGUGUCAGGGCUGCCUCACUCUCAGAACGCGGCCCCGCUUGGCGCAGGGGGCCCUGCCUCAGGCACUGCACUCCUUUUAAAGCUGCUUUGUGGGUUUCUUUUCUUUUCCCUCUCUCUUCCCCCCCCCCCCCACUGCCCCCCCUCUUCAGGUUCCCAGGGCUGGGGAUUCAGCUUCUGGCUUCAUCCAGAAAUCCCUGAGGGUUUCAGAUCCCCACGAGGCCUCUCAAUGUCUUGAUCUGCUUGAAUAGGCAUUUUUAACCCGGCCCCGGCUGUCAUCGGGGCCUGUUACAGUCACUCAACUGCAGCAACAUUGUUCUCGAGGCGCCUGGGACACCUCCCUUAUUACCAUAGAGCACGGGGGAUUUUGCUGUGGGGUUUCUCCUCAUCAUCUCUCAGACCUGCGGCGGUCCAUUAGCCCUCCUCCAUAUCACAGCCUCCGUCCCUGCGUGGCUCCUAGCAUCCCCAUCCCAAAGGACUGCUGGCUCCUGUCCAUCUCCCUCGGUCCCCAAGGAGGUGAUGGUGACCCCCUUUUCCUGUGCCAGGCUCCCUGGCAACGCGGCCUUUCUUUGCCAGCGGCCUCCUCCACCCCCUGACGGGGAGCGGGGCCGUGAAAGCCGCUCUGCACUUUUGAACUUGCUGCCGUCGCGCUCAGUGGCUGCGCGGGACAGCAGCAGCCGAGGGGCCGGGCCCAGCAGGGACCCGGUGCAAUUGCCCAGAAGUUAUUAAUAGGCUGCAGAAG